rnacentral:lncRNA from 10 species
UCAGAAAAUCACAGGGCUGAAAAGCAUAUCUAUACAUUCAGAGAAGUCGCAAAUAGAAAGGAAAAACAUAUUGAAGGGAUUACUUGAAGGAGACUAUGAAGUUGUAGUGAGCACAGGAGUCUUGGGACGAGGCCUAGACUUGAUCAGUGUCAGGCUGGUUGUCAAUUUUGAUAUGCCUUCAAGUAUGGAUGAGUAUGUCCAUCAGUCUACUCACCACAAUCAAUAUGAAGUUUACUCCAUAAACAGAGGUAUGGUACAAGAGGUAACGUGUCAUCCAAGGUGACUUUCCUGGCAGCCACCAGUAAACUGACUCCGGACAGAUAGGACUCUUUUGUUGCCGCCAAGGCAUACUUACAAUGACCUCAGAGGCUCUAGGGCCACAGUGUGAAAACCAACCAAUGGAUAAUUAAGUAAACACAGUUCUCUUGUUCUACUGUUAGUGUGAGAACCUAUUUUAUAUUUUAUAAUGUGUUGCACGUGUGAUGAUAUAGGACAAAAUUACAAAUAAAGCAUAAGACGAGUGUUUAUUUUUGUAAUGUUUACAAAUAGUAACUUACAAAUAAAUUUUAGCUUUGAAAAA